rnacentral:ncRNA from 1 species
CAAAGGCUUAGUCCUGGCCUUACUGUCGGCUCUAGUCAAAAUUACACAUGCAAGUAUCCGCGCCCCCGUGAGGAUGCCCACAGUCCCCUGAAUGGAGACAUGGAGUAGGUAUCAGGCACAACAAUUAUAGCCCAAGACACCUUGUUUAGCCACACCCUCAAGGGUAUUCAGCAGUGACAGACAUUAAGCCAUGAGCGAAAGCUCUACUCAGUUAAGAUUAAGAGGGCCGGUGAAACUCGUGCCAGCCACCGCGGUUAUACGAGAGGCCCAAGUUGACAGAAAGCGGCGUAAAGAGUGGUUAGGGAAAAUUUUAAACUAAAGUCGAAAGUUCUCAAGACUGUUAUACGCCUGCUCGAGAACAUGAAGUUCAUCCACGAAAGUGACUUUACCUGACCUGACCCCACGAGAGCUGGGGCACAAACUGGGAUUAGAUACCCCACUAUGCCCAGCCGUAAACAUCGACCGAAUUUAACCAAUUUUGUCCGCCCGGGAAUUACGGACACUAGUCUAAAAACCAAAGGACUUGGCGGUGCUUUAUAUCCACCUAGAGGAGCCUGUUCUAUAACCGAUAACCCCCGUUUAACCUCACCCCCUCUUGCCUAAUCCGUCUAUAUACCGCCGCCGUCAGCAUACCCUGAGAAGGUAAAAUCGUGUGCAAAAUUGGCACAGCCUAAAACGUCAGGUCGAGGUGUAACGAAUGAGGGGGGAAGAAAUGGGCUACAUUUGCUUUGAUCAAGCACAUACGAAUUUUUCAUUGAAAUAUGAAAUUGAAGGAGGAUUUAGUAGUAAGCAGGAAAUAGAGAGUUCUGCUGAAACCGGCCCUGAAGCGCGCACAUACCGCCCGUCACCCUCACCAAGCGCCCGGACAACACUAAAUAAAAUAAUUCCGACAGCAAAGGGGAGGAAAGUCGUAACAUGGUAAGUGUACCGGAAGGUGCUCUUGGAUAAAA